rnacentral:rRNA from 1 species
GGUGAUGGAGUGGGGGGCGCUGGCGGGAAUAGAUAGGUGGGAAGGGGGAAUCGGUGUUACUGGUGGUAAAGCGUGUGUAGGUGGUGGGUAAAGGCGAGUGGGAAAGCCCCGGGCUUAACUCGGGAACUGCUUUGGAUACUGUCUGACUAGAAUUCGGUAGAGGGAGGCGGAACUCCAGGUGUAGCGGUGAAAUGCGUAGAUAUCUGGAAGAACACCAAUGGCGAAGGUAACCUCCUGGGCCUGAAUUGACACUGAGACACGAAAGCGUGGGGAUCAAACAGGAUUAGAACCCCGGUAGUC